AUUGAACGCUGGCGGCAGGCCUAACACAUGCAAGUCGAGCGGAUGAAGGGAGCUUGCUCCUGGAUUCAGCGGCGGACGGGUGAGUAAUGCCUAGGAAUCUGCCUGGUAGUGGGGGAUAACGUCCGGAAACGGGCGCUAAUACCGCAUACGUCCUGAGGGAGAAAGUGGGGGAUCUUCGGACCUCACGCUAUCAGAUGAGCCUAGGUCGGAUUAGCUAGUUGGUGGGGUAAAGGCCUACCAAGGCGACGAUCCGUAACUGGUCUGAGAGGAUGAUCAGUCACACUGGAACUGAGACACGGUCCAGACUCCUACGGGAGGCAGCAGUGGGGAAUAUUGGACAAUGGGCGAAAGCCUGAUCCAGCCACGCCGCGUGUGUGAAGAAGGUCUUCGGAUUGUAAAGCACUUUAAGUUGGGGGGAAGGGCAGUAAGUUAAUACCUUGCUGUUUUGACGUUACCAACAGAAUAAGCACCGGCUAACUUCGUG
rnacentral:rRNA from 1 species